rnacentral:misc_RNA from 1 species
AUUGUAAUAUAUGUUGUAUAUUCUGAUAUUAUUCGUAAUACUUAUUUAUUAAAACUACUAUGAAAUGUAAACAAAUUAUAUUUUCAAAUACCUCAACAGUUUAGUUGUCGUUGCGUUGAGUUGUCUUCAAAUCACCUGGCUGUAACUGUCGACCAACGGAUUAAAACGCUCGCGAGUUCGAUACCCUGAAAGCGGCCCGAGUAUGUCCGUCUGCGAGCGAUACACUGAUAGGAGCCCAAUAUUGUGAUACAAUAACAUUAGUUAUACUAAUCUUUGCCACACCUUUAUGUGGCAUUUCGAGAGGAUACCAUCGCACCAUUAACGCCGUCGAUUUUUGCGUAUUGAAAAACAUCAGCUGAAGUCUCAAUAAUAUUGAAGCCGAGUGCGACAUUACAAUAUUGUUCAGGAACAGACUCCAACGUUUUAGACUUUUCUACAAUUCGAUGGUUAUGACGUAAUGCUCAGUACGUUUCGACAGCUUUCUCGGUGAUGAGGUGUGUGGUAGGGGAUUUCGUAGCACAGUGUUCAUCGGCACGAUGGUGGACACCAACCGAGAUAAUAACAAUGCCGUCGUUGGCAAAGGCAUACUGAAACGGCGAAUUUUCGUCCGCAACGAUAGGCCACCCCAACAGUCAACCACGGCGGUGACCAAACCACUUCAAGACGGCGGCUGCUGUCUGGUGAACGUUUGCAAACGGUGCGUAACGUUCGACGAAACGAUCACGAUCAAAACCGACAAGGACUUAGUAGUCAAGAAGCCGCUUAAGCUGGAACUCGUCAUCGACAACUGGAAGUCGUAUGGUACGAAAACGCCAACCGAAACGAUUCAGUCUGAUCCCGGAAUCGUCAGACGUCUAGUCGACGAGUUCAACACUAUUGAAGAACCGUUUACCGAUAGUUCCGAAAUCGAAUCUACAUCGAUUGAGGAGGAUAAAGUUAAGGAAGACAAGCCAAUGGAAAGCCGUACGAAUGUCCCACUCUGCGAAGCUUUGGAAUCGGUCAGCUUAAGCACUGGCAACCAGUAACCGAAAAAUGCUGUUUUGUAUCGAACGUAUAUUUCUGGCAUCGGUAGUCUCGACGAAAUAAACGUCUACAAAAAAAGCCAUAACAGCAAAGUUAACUAACGGAAAAUCGUCCUUACACGGUCGUUCGCAAAGUACCGGCAGGGUAACUGAUCUUAUAAAUAUGUUCAAUUCGAAAUCAACCAACGGAAAAA